AAAUUGAAGAGUUUGAUCAUGGCUCAGAUUGAACGCUGGCGGCAGGCCUAACACAUGCAAGUCGAACGGUAACAGGAAGAAGCUUGCUUCUUUGCUGACGAGUGGCGGACGGGUGAGUAAUGUCAGGGAAACUGCUUGAUGGAGGGGGAUAACUAUUGGAAACGGUGGUUAAUACCGCAUAACGUCGCAAGACCAAAGCGGGGGACCUUCGGGCCUC
rnacentral:rRNA from 1 species